AAGCGGCACUCGAACCGUCGAUGGCGACUGAGACUCUUGCGGGUCUUGUACGACUUGCCGCACUGAUCGCAGGCGUGCUGAUACCAGAUCGUUGCGCUGCGGCAGGCAGUUGACUUUUCCAGGACAAGAUACGGAUACGGUUCGGUCGGCUUCAUAGAUAGUAGUAUGUGAUAGUAGGUAGUAGAUAUUGGAGUAGUAGUGGUAGAUGGAGUAGUGGGGUAGUACAACAGUUUGGUUUGUAGAGACAUCUAAAAGAAAUUUAGUAAUAAAAAUAGGUUAGUGAAAAAUUCGCACAAUUUUCGGAUGAAACAAAAAAAAAAGACAACACUGAACGAGGGCGGGAUGGAAACCGAAAAACAUACACGAAAACGAAAACAUCGAUGGAUCAUGUGGGGUAUGAACAAAGGAUGAGGUGGUGACACGAUGGCAAAUAGGGAAUGAGAAAGGCUAUAAAAAUAAAACUUUCGAUUGCUGCAAUUGAAUACAUAAAUAUGGUAUAUUUUGUGUAUUUGGUGUUUUCGUAAUUUAUUCAAUUAAAAUAUAAUUCUCAUUUUCUGUUUCGUUUUGACUUUGGAUAAAUUAGGCUCUAAAAUUAGGUAUACAUGCUAGAAAUGUAUAGUAUAGUAAUAACUUAACUAGGUCGUACAUUUUGGUGGCAUAUCAUUUGGAAUAAGUGGGUUACAUUUAUAAAUCAACCUCCAUGGCUUCCUCCAUUUUGCAAGAGAAAAGUUUGGUGGCUAGUUGAGUAUUUUGCGUUUUUUGGAUUAAAUCAAAUUGAAAUUACUCAACUUGUAGUAAAAGAUUUGAUAUUCUCUCUUGACUUUUUUGGUUUCAUCUUAAAUGACUAACAAAUAGUUUAGAGGCUGGACUCUUUUUGGGUAAAGUAAUCCCAUCCCUGUCAUGCUGAAAAGCGUCUUAUAUGUUUAGAAAUUCGUGACGUUUCGAGUAAUUUAUCGUUCGUCUUAGGAAAGAUCCGUCGUUGGAUGAUUCAACACUGUAAUAUUGACAAAUUUUAAGACACAUUUUGUCUACGGGCGACUCACAAAAAUACAUAAUUAAAAUUAUCUUCAAAAUGGAAUGUCUACGUUUGAGAUUCUCGUACAGGGCAAAUACAUAGUGUAAAAAAGGGGUGCUUGGGGGGCGAAAACGUAUGAAUAGAGUAUGCAAAUACGCAGAGCCUUGGCUCUUGACAAAUUAAAAAAA